rnacentral:rRNA from 1 species
UACAGAGGUGGCAAGCGUUGUUCGGAAUUACUGGGCGUAAAGGGCGCGUAGGCGGCCUUCUAAGUCGAACGUGAAAUCCCCGGGCUCAACCCGGGAACUGCGUCCGAGACUGAAAGGCUUGAAUCCGGGAGAGGGAUGUGGAAUUCCAGGUGUAGCGGUGAAAUGCGUAGAUAUCUGGAGGAACAUCGGUGGCGAAGGCGGCAUCCUGGACCGGUAUUGACGCUGAGGCGCGAAAGCCAGGGGAGCAAAGCGGG